AUGAAAUUACAAUUAGUUAUAUUUUUCUCACUUGCCCUGCUGGCUGCAACGUUGGCAGAGGACAAGACAAAAGAGAAGGCGAAAGAAGCGGUGAAAGAAGUCGCAAAGGAGGCUGUGAAGGGAGAGGCAGAAAAAGAAGCGAAAAAAGAAGUGAAAAAGGCAGCAAAAGAUACAGCGG